rnacentral:misc_RNA from 1 species
GAUGAAGAACGUAGCGAAAUGCGAUAAGUAGUGUGAAUUGCAGAAUUCAGUGAAUCAUCGAGUCUUUGAACGCACAUUGCGCCCCCUGGUAUUCCGGGGGGCAUGCCUGUCCGAGCGUCAUUGCUGCCCUCAAGCACGGCUUGUGUGUUGGGCCUCCGUCCUCCUCCCGGGGGACGGGCCCGAAAGGCAGCGGCGGCACCGCGUCCGGUCCUCGAGCGUACGGGGCUUCGUCACCCGCUCUUGUAGGCCCGGCCGGCGCUUGCCGACACAUCAAUCUUUUUUCCAGGUUGACCUCGGAUCAGGUAGGGAUACCCGCUGAACUUAAGCAUAUCAAUAAGCGGAGGA